rnacentral:rRNA from 1 species
UACGUAGGGUGCGAGCGUUGUUCGGAAUUACUGGGCGUAAAGGGCUCGUAGGCGGCCAACUAAGUCAGACGUGAAAUCCCUCAGCUUAACUGGGGAACUGCGUCUGAUACUGGAUGGCUUGGAUUUGGGAGAGGGAUGCGGAAUUCCAGGUGUAGCGGUGAAAUGCGUAGAUAUCUGGAGGAACACCGGUGGCGAAGGCGGCAUCCUGGACCAAUAUUGACGCUGAGGAGCGAAAGCCAGGGGAGCAAACGGG